AAUGAACGUUGGCGGCGUGGAUUAGGCAUGCAAGUCGAGCGAGAAGUUGUUUGUUGAUCCUUCGGGUGAUUCAAUCAACGGAAAGCGGCAAACGGCGUAGUAAUGCGUAGGUACGUACCCUCGGGUCGGGAAUAGCCAGAGGAAACUCUGGGUAAUGCCCGAUAAUCUCUGCGGAGCAAAGGUGUGAUUCCGCCUGAGGAGCGGCUUACGUGAUAUUAGCUUGUUGGUGGGGUAAUGGCCUACCAAGGCUACGAUGUCUAGGGGGUGUGAGAGCAUGGCCCCCACGACCGGAACUGAGACACUGUCCGGACACCUACGGGUGGCUGCAGUCGAGAAUCUUCCGCAAUGGGCGAAAGCCUGACGGAGCGACGCCGCGUGCGGGAUGAAGGCCCUUGGGUUGUAAACCGCUGUCAGAGGGGAUGAAAUCAUGGUGGGCAAUCCCUCCAUGUUGACAGAGCCUCAGAGGAAGCACGGGCUAAGUACG
rnacentral:rRNA from 1 species